AGCAGCCGCGGUAAUUCCAGCUCCAAUAGCGUAUAUUAAAGUUGCUGCAGUUAAAAAGCUCGUAGUUGAAUUUCGGGAUCAUCAUGUCGGUCGUGCCUCGGUACGUACUGGCAUUGUUGGUUUCCCCCCUUCUGAAGAACCAUGAUGUCAUUAAUUUGGUGUCUUGGGGAAUCAGGACUGUUACUUUGAAAAAAAUUAGAGUGUUUAAAGCAGGCUCGCGCUUGAAUACAUUAGCAUGGAAUAAUGAAAUAGGACGUUUGAUUCUAUUUUGUUGGUUUCUAGGAUCGACGUAAUGAUUAAUAGGGAUAGUUGGGGGCAUUAGUAUUCAAUUGUCAGAGGUGAAAUUCUUGGAUUUAUUGAAGACUAACUACUGCGAAAGCAUUUGCCAAGGAUGUUUUCAUUAAUCAAGAACGAAAGUUAGGGGAUCGAAGACGAUCAGAUACCGUCGUAGUCUUAACCAUAAACUAUGCCGACUAGGGAUCGGAUGAUGUUAAUUUUUAAUGA
rnacentral:rRNA from 1 species